CCUCUCAAGUCUCAACAACUACGCGUCUAUUGCACACAGACAACGCGUCAUCUGACAAACUACACGCUAUAUGCAGGGAAACUACACGCUAUAGACAGAGAUGUUUAGCAGCACUUAAAAAACAGCUACACUCCACCAACUCCAUCCUUUUCAACUCCACUCCACCAACUUCAAAAAAAUAUGAAGUCGAUGUACGUGUUUAGCUGGUUGCAGUGCUCCAACUUCAUCUCAGAAACAUAAAGACUUAUUGUGAAUAGUUCAUUUUACCCUUUAUGAACGAGAUCACAUGUCAGUCUCUUCUCUUUUCUUUUUUUUCUCCACCUGUGCCAUGUGCUACCUCCCGCCACCCUCCCGCCACCCUGCCGCCCUGUUUCCGUCCCGCCCAAUGGCCUACCCCGCUCGGCAGCUCCAACCUUCCGACGCAGGAUCCGCAUCACCAUCAGACAUCUCGAUUCAGAGAGAGACGUUUCGCUUUCUAUAAAAGCAGGAAAAUUCUCUUUCAAAAAAAUAUUUAGAGAGAGACGAUUGUAGAUUGCCUAUUUUUGUAAGGAAUCUGUGACAUAAUCGAUCCUAACUGUCACCGGGGAGGCGUGUUGUGGAUCCUCACCUCCCUUUCUUGUUCUUGAUUUGAUUUAUUUUUCUGCUCAGAUUUGGGGAGGAUCAAGCUCUUGUUGCUUCUUGUGCAAGUCAAUGGAGAAGAUGCUGGAGACUGCAGAGGAUAGAAGACGAGCCCCUGCGGUCGGCCAACGCGGCGGUGGCGCUGCAGCAUCGGCGCAACAGCCCCGUCGCCCCUGCGGCCAGACACCAGCAGCGGCGCUGCGUGUCCCGGCUAGCUACGGUGGCAUAGCCUAGCACCUGCGAGGCUCUGCAGCCUGCAGCCCCGGCGCGGCUGGGGCACGACAGUGGCGCCUGCAGCCCCGGUAUCCAUUUUUGCCAGAGAUGGGCCCGGCGGCGCUAGUUCGAAGAGGGGCGAUGGGAGGAGGGGAGGGGGCGAUGGAAGAACAGUUUCGCGAACAGACGCGUGGAACCGCCCAUGAGAUUACGAAAUUUGAGGAGCACCUCUUGAGGUGAUAUCUAACUCCAUCUUUUUCCGAAGCUGGAGUUGGUGAAACUAGACGUGUUUGACAGAGAGUUUUGUGGAGUUGACAGGGUGGAGCUAUUUUUCCGCUGCCAUAGCCGUCGGUAUUUCUUAGUAUUUGUUUCGUGCAACCAUUCAAAAGGAAACGCGUAUAAGUGCUGGGAGACGUGUAACUGCGCGUGCACGAAAAAUGAUGAAUGUAUACACAUAUCCCUAUUUCUUUUUUCUGUAACGAGAUAUACACGAAUAUUCUUAGCUCAGAAGUAACCGCUGUAGUGUACUUGCAACCAGCACAGUUCGUCGUCGUUACGCAUCGUCAUCAGAUUGGGGCCGCCGCGGAUAAGAUACGCUUUGUGUUUGUCGACCACCAUUUGGAUAAUCGGAUCACGAGAUGGCGUGGUUGACCGAGCACCUUAUCACGGUCCUACUAUACUGGUCUCCUGCCCCUUUAAUUAUUACCUGCUCUGAACAGCC
rnacentral:lncRNA from 1 species